CCUACGGGAGGCAGCAGUGGGGAAUUUUGGACAAUGGGCGAAAGCCUGAUCCAGCAAUGCCGCGUGUGGGAAGAAGGCCUUCGGGUUGUAAACCACUUUUGUACGGAACGAAACGGUUCGCUUUAAUACAGUGGGCUAAUGACGGUACCGUAAGAAUAAGCACCGGCUAACUACGUGCCAGCAGCCGCGGUAAUACGUAGGGUGCGAGCGUUAAUCGGAAUUACUGGGCGUAAAGCGUGCGCAGGCGGUCAUAUAAGACAGUUGUGAAAUCCCCGGGCUCAACCUGGGAAUUGCAUCUGUGACUGUAUAGCUAGAGUACGGUAGAGGGGGAUGGAAUUCCGCGUGUAGCAGUGAAAUGCGUAGAUAUGCGGAGGAACACCGAUGGCGAAGGCAAUCCCCUGGACCUGUACUGACGCUCAUGCACGAAAGCGUGGGGAGCAAACAGGAUUAGAUACCCUGGUAGUCCACGCCCUAAACGAUGUCAACUGGUUGUUGGGUGCAUUAGUACUCAGUAACGAAGCUAACGCGUGAAGUUGACCGCCUGGGGAGUACGGCCGCAAGGUUGAAACUCAAAGGAUUGACGGCUGAGCGNGCGAGACGACGACGAGGGAGGAGG
rnacentral:rRNA from 1 species